rnacentral:sRNA from 1 species
CCCGGCAAUGAAUUGCCGGGCUAUUCUCGGAGGUCCCUACGGGACU